rnacentral:lncRNA from 1 species
UUUCACAUGUUCAGUUUCAUGACGGUUGAUGUUGAUGCAUGUUUUGUUUUAUACUUCAAGAUUAAAAUAAAGUAAUUACAUUAUUGAAAGUCACAUUACAAUUUAAUUAACACCUUGAACAAAAACAAUAGCCCAAUAGAAAGUGCAAAUGAGUAAAUUGGCCUAUAAUAAGAGGAAACAACUAUUCCUGGAAAUGACUUUAAAAUGGGUGGGCUCACAUAGUCUGGGAGAGGAUAAGCAGUCUGAUGGAUGAGCGCAGUUUACUCACUUCCCAUGACUGUUUGGCGGCGGUCCCAGUGCGAACAAUUUGAACACAAGUACAGGCUUUCUUUCAAGGAGAGGAGAACAAAUGUAUCGUGCAAAACGUGUCGGAGACUAUGAAGGAGGAUCCAAUAUGAAAUCUUUCAUGUCAUAUUUUGAGACAUGGCUGAAGGAUAGCCCUGGAUGAUGUUUUCCCAGGAGCAAAAUUAGUCGAUGUUGAUGGCACAAAUUGCUGUUUGAAGAGGAUGAGGCUGAUUAUGGCUGAUGACUGCAGGCAGGACUACGGUGAGCUCAGUUGGGAGUUGCUGCUUCUGCUCAGAAGGCAGAGCCUGGCAGCUUGGACAGCAGUCGAUGAGGAUUAUCAUCGAUUUUGUUGAAGAUCAGCGGAUUGGAGUGAGACAACGGUUUUAUCAGUUUUAUUAUUUUAUUUGUUUGCCUAUUUGUACGUACAUGAUUCAAUAAUCUUUGUAAAGGUUUAACCCAAAGCUGCUUCCCUAUUGAAUUUGGAAAAUAUGAUAAUUUAGUCUAAAAUAAGGUUAUAUUCACUUUCAUUCAAUUAAGUCUUAGUAAUCUCAGUCCAAAUAUUUAUAUGAAUAUAUUUUCAGGAAAAAGGAUCAGAAUAUAAUCCCUCCGUUUUUAUAUAUGUUUAAAACAAUAUUUUUUAACAAAAGUACUGCUAAAGAAAACUUUGACAUAGAUCGCAAACUGACUUACCUUUGUCGCUAUCAUCAGAUUAACUCUUGUGUGUAAUCUCUUCACCGUCUCUUCCUCCUCCGAAUCACUAUUCUUAUCUAAAUCAUUAGCUAGCACUAUUUUCACUACUGCGAGAGCCUUUUAUAGUUGAAUAAUAAAAAACUCUUUUUUGAAAUCAAAUCAAGUUGGUCUAUUAAUUAAGUGAAACGAAAUCAUAAAAAAUAAGUUUAUCCUCUAAAAAUCUUGAUAUGGGUUUUAGUAAUCUAUUUCACCUUCCAUGACGAACUGCUAGUUAAUAAUUCGUUUUUGAACUAUUUUUAACGACUCUACAGUCAUGUUUUUCAAUAAAAGUUAUACAUAACUAUUAGCCUACUCACGUGUGGAGCGCUUUUGGAGUUUUAAAUCCAUUUUCAAAACUGCUGUCUUCAUUUCUUUCUCAUUGGCAGGUAGGAUCUGUUGGUAUCGGUGGUGUUAGCGGAUUUAUUUGAAUACAUUAUUGAAUCAAAAAGUUUAUGAGACUUGAAGUUCAGUUCAUCGUUUAGGAUGUCUCGUGUAUCAGUUUUCAUGUGUUUGUAGAUUUCAUAUUGCUCUAGAGUCUUGAGUUCAGCUCCUUUAGUUUUUAUGUGUAAUAUUUUUAAAUUGCUGUUGAUGACUGUAUGGUUGUUUUAUAUUAGAUUGAUUGAUUCACACAAUAAGUACAUAAUCAAAAUGAUAGGGAGAGAAAAAAAUGAGGUUACCUUGUGCUAUUCCUCUCCCAAAUUUAGAUAAGGUUACACAUAGUCCUAAAUAGGUUA